AUUGAACGCUGGCGGCAGGCCUAACACAUGCAAGUCGAACGAGUGGCGGACGGGUGAGUAAUGUCUGGGAAACUGCCCGAUGGAGGGGGAUAACUACUGGAAACGGUAGCUAAUACCGCAUACCAUCGGAUGUGCCCAGAUGGGCUUAGCUAGUAGGUGGGGUAACGGCACACCUAGGCGACGAUCCCUAGCUGGUCUGAGAGGAGGACCAUCCGCACUGGAACUGCGAUACGGUGCAGACUCCUACGGGAGGCAGCAGUGGUGAAUAUUGCACAAUGGGCGUAAGCCUGAUGCAGCCAUGCCGCGAGUAUGAAGAAGUCCUGCGGGUUGUAAAGUACUUUAAGCGAGGAGGCGUUACUCGCAGAAGAAGCACCGGCUAACUCCGUGCCAGCAGCCGCGGUAAUUC
rnacentral:rRNA from 1 species